rnacentral:rRNA from 1 species
AGAGUUUGAUCCUGGCUCAGAAUCAACGCUGGCGGCGUGCCUAACACAUGCAAGUCGAACGAGAAAGUGGAGCAAUCCAUGAGUAAAGUGGCGACCGGGUGAGUAACACGUGACUAACCUACCUCCGAGUGGGGAAUAACUCCGGGAAACCGGGGCUAAUACCGCAUAACAUCGCAAGAUCAAAGCAGCAAUGCGCUUGGAGAGGGGGUCGCGGCUGAUUAGCUAGUUGGCGGGGUAACGGCCCACCAAGGCGAAGAUCGGUAUCCGGCCUGAGAGGGCGCACGGACACACUGGAACUGAAACACGGUCCAGACUCCUACGGGAGGCAGCAGUGGGGAAUUUUGCGCAAUGGGGGAAACCCUGACGCAGCAACGCCGCGUGGAGGAUGAAGCCCCUUGGGGCGUAAACUCCUUUCGACCAAGACGAUAAUGACGGUACUGGUGGAAGAAGCACCGGCUAACUCUGUGCCAGCAGCCGCGGUAAUACAGAGGGUGCGAGCGUUGUUCGGAAUUAUUGGGCGUAAAGGGCGCGUAGGCGGUGCCACAGGUCACCUGUGAAAUCCCCGGGCUUAACUCGGGGCCUGCAGGCGAAACUGUGGUGCUGGAGUAUGGGAGAGGUGCGUGGAAUUCCCGGUGUAGCGGUGAAAUGCGUAGAUAUCGGGAGGAACACCUGUGGCGAAAGCGGCGCACUGGACCAUAACUGACGCUGAGGCGCGAAAGCUAGGGGAGCAAACAGGAUUAGAUACCCUGGUAGUCCUAGCCCUAAACGAUGAUUGCUUGGUGUAGCAGGUACCCAAUCCUGCUGUGCCGCAGCUAACGCGAUAAGCAAUCCGCCUGGGGAGUACGGUCGCAAGGCUGAACUCAAGGAAUUGACGGGGGCCCGCACAAGCGGUGGAGCAUGUGGUUCAAUUCGACGCAACGCGAGACCUUACCUGGCUCGAGCGCAGUGGACCGGGUGGAAACAUCCCUUUUCGCAGACUGCUGCGAGUGCUGCAUGGCUG